rnacentral:rRNA from 1 species
GUGUCAGCCGCCGCGGUAAUACGGAGGGGGCAAGCGUUAUUCGGAAUUACUGGGCGUAAAGCGCACGUAGGCGGCGAAGCAAGUCAAGGGUGAAAGCCCUCGGCUCAACCGAGGAAUUGCCCUUGAAACUGUUUCGCUUGAGUCCGGGAGGGGGGAGCGGAAUUCCCAGUGUAGCGGUGAAAUGCGUAGAUACUGGGAGGAACACCGGUGGCGAAGGCGGCUCCCUGGCCCGGUACUGACGCUGAGGCUCGAAAGCGUGGGUAGCAAACAGGAUUAGAUACCCUGGUAGUCCACGCCCUAAACGGUGGGCACUAGGUGUGGGGCUCGGGAGGGUUCCGUGCCGAAGGGAAACCAAUAAGUGCCCCGCCUGGGGAGUACGGCCGCAAGGUUGAAACUUAAAGGAAUUGACGGGG